CAACAGAUCAUCAGAUGACUGAAAAGGAGAAACUCUUAAAAGCUCUGAUAAAACUCUUAAAAAUAUAAAAUUACUUUAUCAAUUAUAAAUUUUCUGGAGUCGUGCGGUCAACAAAAUGCACCACCGGCGCCGGCUGCUCUGGGUGUUAGCACCACUGGGGUCCAAUAUGACAUCAUCAUGGAAUCCAAAAGACAUUUCAUAUGAUAAAGAGGAUUUUAUUUCAUCCGCACAAUGAAUCAUAAAUCAGUUUUAAUGUGGAUUUUCCUGAUUUGUGCUUAUCCGCUCUUCUCGUCUGCAGCAGGGGAAAAAGCUCUUAAAAGACCAGAAAAGCAUCACAGCUGAGUUUGGACACAAUAUCACUCUGCCAUGUCGAUCUCCAGACAAGGACAUCCCCAUUAUCGUUGUAGAGUGGAGCAGAGCUGACCUGGAAGAUGAAUAUGUGCUUAAUUACAGGGAUGAGCAGUUUGAUCCAGAUUACCAGCAUCCAUCUUUUACGAACCGGGUGGAUCUGCAGGACAGAGAGAUGAAAGAUGGAGGCGUGUCUUUGAUUCUGAACAAUGUGACGAUCAAGGACACUGGAACAUACGAGUGGGUGUUGUCCAGGGAGUGGAAGGACCUGUGAUUCUAAUCAACAUCAUCUACCUGAGUGUUGUUGAUCCUCCAGGUGAGUGAGUAGAGUUGAGUGUGUGUGUGAUCAGAGGUGAAGCUGCUUCCUGGUUGUUGAUGUUUGUUUCUAAAGAUGUUGUUGAUGAGACUUUGUAGAAAGCAGCUGGUCUGAGUGAUG
rnacentral:lncRNA from 1 species